rnacentral:rRNA from 1 species
UGGGGAAUUGUUCGCAAUGGGCGCAAGCCUGACGACGCAACGCCGCGUGGAGGAUGAAGAUCUUCGGGUCGUAAACUCCUUUCGAUCGAGACGAAUGGUUCCUGGGUUAACAGCCCGGGAAAUUGACGGUACCGAGAGAAGAAGCCCCGGCUAACUCCGUGCCAGCAGCCGCGGUAAUACGGGGGAGGCAAGCGUUGUUCGGAAUUACUGGGCGUAAAGGGCUCGUAGGUGGCCAACUAAGUCAUACGUGAAAUCCCUCGGCUUAACCGGGGAACUGCGCCUGAUACUGGUUGGCUUGAGUUUGGGAGAGGGACGCGGAAUUCCAGGUGUAGCGGUGAAAUGCGUAGAUAUCUGGAGGAACACCGGUGGCGAAGGCGGCGUCCUGGACCAAUACUGACACUGAGGAGCGAAAGCCAGGGGAGCAAA